AAGGGAACCGCCGGUGACAAGCCGGAGGAAGGCGGGGAUGACGUCAAGUCCUCAUGGCCCUUAUGGGCUGGGCUACACACGUGCUACAAUGGCGGUGACAGUGGGCAGCGAAGGCGCGAGCCGGAGCCAAUCCCCAAAAGCCGUCUCAGUUCGGAUUGCACUCUGCAACUCGGGUGCAUGAAGGUGGAAUCGCUAGUAAUCGUGGAUCAGCAUGCCACGGUGAAUACGUUCCCGGGCCUUGUACACACCGCCCGUCACACCAUGGGAGUUGGUUUGACCCGAAGACGGUGCGCCAACCGCAAGGAGGCAGCCGGCCACGGUCAGGUCAGCGACUGGGGUGAAGUCGUAACAAGGUAGCCGUAGGGGAACCUGCGGCUGGAUCACCUCCUUUCU
rnacentral:rRNA from 1 species